rnacentral:rRNA from 1 species
UCGAACGGUAGCACAGAGAGCUUGCUCUCGGGUGACGAGUGGCGGACGGGUGAGUAAUGUCUGGGAAACUGCCUGAUGGAGGGGGAUAACUACUGGAAACGGUAGCUAAUACCGCAUAACGUCGCAAGACCAAAGAGGGGGACCUUCGGGCCUCUUGCCAUCAGAUGUGCCCAGAUGGGAUUAGCUAGUAGGUGGGGUAACGGCUCACCUAGGCGACGAUCCCUAGCUGGUCUGAGAGGAUGACCAGCCACACUGGAACUGAGACACGGUCCAGACUCCUACGGGAGGCAGCAGUGGGGAAUAUUGCACAAUGGGCGCAAGCCUGAUGCAGCCAUGCCGCGUGUAUGAAGAAGGCCUUCGGGUUGUAAAGUACUUUCAGCGGGGAGGAAGGUGUUGCGGUUAAUAACCGCAGCAAUUGACGUUACCCGCAGAAGAAGCACCGGCUAACUCCGUGCCAGCAGCCGCGGUAAUACGGAGGGUGCAAGCGUUAAUCGGAAUUACUGGGCGUAAAGCGCACGCAGGCGGUCUGUCAAGUCGGAUGUGAAAUCCCCGGGCUCAACCUGGGAACUGCAUUCGAAACUGGCAGGCUAGAGUCUUGUAGAGGGGGGUAGAAUUCCAGGUGUAGCGGUGAAAUGCGUAGAGAUCUGGAGGAAUACCGGUGGCGAAGGCGGCCCCUGGACAAAGACUGACGCUCAGGUGCGAAAGCGUGGGGAGCAACAGG